rnacentral:tRNA from 1 species
GGAUCAUUACAUCAAUUGGUAAGAUGAGCUGCCUCAUAAGCAGAAAGCCCUAAUAAGGUAUAAACUGGGUUCGACUCCCAGAUGAUCCA